AUGCAGGGGAGAUAGGUGCCAUGACCCUGAAGGUGGUUUUCUCACGGGAGGCUUAGUUCCUGCACUCCGAAUGUAACUGAGCCCUGCAAUUUCCCCAAAUUCGAGGAUAUUUGACUAUGUAGUUUGUGGUAAUUGGGGACUGCAUUUGCAAUCUACCCUAA
ensembl:snRNA LOC120097596 U1 spliceosomal RNA